rnacentral:lncRNA from 1 species
AAUAGAAACAUAAGAAAGAAAGAGACAAUACAAAGCAGCAGCUCACAGGCUGUAGUUUGAAGGGCCCCAGAAAGGACUUGCCAAAUAUCUCUGCACUUCUAUUUCUGCCUGAAUUUGUACCAGUAGGAGUUCAUUCCAUGAUUUCGGUGGAGUGCCCUACAUCAUUAGUACAAGGAUCUGAAAGAUUAAAUCUGAUCAGUACAACUGGUGGUUUAUGUUCCAAAAAUGGUCAUUUUGCUUGA